GAACGUGAUGGGUAUUUUCGACCAUUCAGUCACAUCAGCAUAAAGAUAUAAUAAAUUAAUCUAUCAUCGGAUAGAAACGUUUCUUUAGCGUUUCUUUUUGCGUAGAAAAGAAGGUAGUGAGAAGGUAGUGAGAGAGAGUAAAAUUGUUUUAAAAAAAGGCAAAGAUUUAUGUAACGGAAGAAGCUGAAGGCUGUUCCCAAGUCACUCUCUUUGCAACCUCCGAGGAAUUUUGGUAGCAUCCUCUGUGAUAUUUUGUCAUCAGUUUCGGUUUUGGUAUAGAGAGAGAGAGAGAGACGUGAGUUUCUGGUCCUGUUGCUGUUUUUGUGAGUGUGUCAGAAAGUUCGUCUCUUUUGUCCAUUGUUGCUUUUGCUUUCUGCUUGGAGAAAUGCUGGUUCGGAGGAGGGUGAUGAGUUGGAGAAGGGUGGCGAAGGCCCUGCAAGCUCUGGUAGCUCAUGCUUUGCUUUUCUCUUUCACUCUUCUCCUUGUUCUCAAGCUUGACCAUCUCCUUCCUGACUCAUGGACAUGGUGGAAAGUAUUUUCUCCUCUAUGGCUUUUUCAUGCUGUGGUGGCACGAGGCAGGUUUUCCUUGCCUGCUCCUUCGAUUCCUCACGAUCGGCGAUGGGCUCCUUUUCAUUCACUCGUAGCAACUCCACUACUUGUUGCAUUUGAGCUACUUCUUUGUAUACAUCUCGGGAGCAGUUAUGAGAUGAAUUUAAGGAUUGUCUUCAUGCCCCUGGUAUUUUUUGAAAUGGUGGUUUUGUUUGAUAACAUCAGGAUGUGUAGGGCUUUGAUGCCCGGGGAUGAUGAAAAUUUGACGGAUGAAGCAGUCUGGGAAACUCUUCCUCACUUCUGGAUUUCAAUAUCCAUGGUCUUCUUAAUUGCUGCCACAGUGUUCACCCUUCUAAAGAUAUGUGGUGAUGUUGCUGCUCUAGGCUGGUGGGACUUAUUUAUUAACUAUGGGAUUGCACAGUGCUUUGCCUUUCUUGUUUGUACUAAGUGGCAUAAUCCAACUAUACAUGGAGGCUGUCACAUCACAGAACCAUGUUCAUCGUCAAAUACCAUAAGAUACCUAGACAUGAGUAGAGGAGGCUUAGUUACUUAUGCGGAUGAAGAUAGGGAGCAAAAUGGGUUCUGCAAUCUGCAGGAUAUUGGUGGGCAUAUCAUGAAAAUUCCAUUCAUUGGUUUUCAAAUACUUCUUUUUAUGCAUUUAGAGGGAACGCCAUCCAGUGCAAAAAAUCUGCAACAUUGGGUCAUUUUUUCGCCACUUUUUUUGUUGCAAGGAGCUGGGGUAUUAUUUGCUGCAUAUAGAUUAAUAGAGAAGAUAGUUCUUUUACUCUACAGUGGAGAUAUUCCUGAAAGAUACUCAUCUAUAGCAUCAAAAUCUCGUGAGUGCUUUGGGUUCUUUCGACAUGGUUCAAGGUUACUUGGUUGGUGGUCAAUAGAUGAAGGAAGUAAAGAGGAAGAAGCUAGACUUUUUUUUUCUGGGAGUUCUGGGUAUAAUACUUUUACCCCUGAUACAGUGAAGAAAAUGCCUAGAGCAGAUCUGGUUGAGGAGAUUUGGAGAUUACAAGCUGCACUGGGUGAGCAAACAGAAGUUACAAAAUUUAGCCAGGAGGAGUAUGAAAGGCUUCAAAAUGAGAAGAUCUUAUGUAGAAUUUGCUUCGAAGAGCAGAUUAACGUGGUCCUCCUUCCUUGUAGGCAUCACAUUAUUUGCAGCACCUGCUGCGAAAAAUGUAAACGGUGCCCUGUCUGCCGUGGCACCAUUGAAGAAAGGAUGCCUGUAUAUGAUGUGUAGCCUGUAUAUGAUGUGUAGACUGUAUUGAAGAUGUAUAGGUAUCUUACUGACCAUCCAGCUUGUGAUUUUAGACGAAACAAGCACCGAGAAGGAUCAAUUUCUCUGCUCAUAGAUUUUAUAUCUUGAAGACAAGAAGAUAAAAUGCAAGAUGAUUGUUGAACUCUUUGAACACUUGAUGAAUUCGUACAAAUCACCUAAUUUUCUCCACCAUUGGGUCAAAUUUAGCAGAUGGGUUGAUGGCAAAAUAUGGUUUUAGGGAUGACCUGGCUUUGGAGACAUCUUUCUCUAACAAGAACAAAGAAAAGAAAAAAUGACAUGCAAAUGGCAAAACAAACACAUGAUAGUGAAACUAUACUUUAUAAAUGUUUGGUUGGUGUUGUGGUUAUUAAUUCCUUUGUCAUCGGCUGCUUUCACGUACAUAUGUAAGGAACUGGCCCUGCAAAUAAACUUGCUUCUAGAAUCGUACUAUAUCCGACAAAUUUUUCUACCAAAAACAUAAUCUUGGACCAC